rnacentral:lncRNA from 1 species
CUCUUUAGUCUUGCACUUAUGUGAUCUUUUUCAAUGAAAAUUACAUUCCAUAUAAAGUUGCUCAAAACAUUUUUUUCUUUAAAAAAAGCUUUCAGUAUAUUUGUUCUAAAAAAUUAAAUGGACAUUAUAAUUGCACAUAUUUAUGGGAUACAAUGUGAUAUUUCUUUUUUUUAUUAAAACAUUUUUAGUACUUGAGGUAUUUAUCUUAUGUGUUGCAAAAUGUUUCACAGUUAAUCCUUUACCUCCGUUUAUGUUUUUUUUGUUGUUGUUGUUUUAUGUAGAAGUUUUAAUUUUUUUUUAUGUAGUCAAAAAUGUGUCUUUAAAUGACUUGGGAAUGAGUGAAAGCUUGAUGGGAGGAGAAGAGAGUUAAGACAUUUGAGGUUUUUACAGUUUGUAAAAUGUUUUAUAUUUUUCAUUAGAACUCCAUAACUAUGUGAGGAAAUGCUUUUAAAGGGCUCAGCCAGGUGGCUAGGGACAGACUAAUCAGAGUGGAGUGGCAAGACUUUACAAAAACAUGCCACUUUACAGAGCCCUUGACAGUUGGAAAGGUUCCAGGAGCAUCGGGUUAAAGCACCACAGUAACUCUAAGGUAGGUGGUGUGAUCCUUUCCCCUAUACAGAUGAGUGAAGCAGCCAAGGAAUUUGCCCAGAGUCGUGUAAGUACUAAGUGAUGAUGAUAAAACACCCAGAU